rnacentral:rRNA from 1 species
CAGCCGCCGCGGUAAUACGGAGGGUGCAAGCGUUAAUCGGAAUUACUGGGCGUAAAGCGCACGCAGGCGGUCUGACAAGUCAGAUGUGAAAUCCCCGGGCUUAACCUGGGAACUGCAUUUGAAACUGUCAGGCUGGAGUCUUGUAGAGGGGGGUAGAAUUCCAGGUGUAGCGGUGAAAUGCGUAGAGAUCUGGAGGAAUACCGGUGGCGAAGGCGGCCCCCUGGACAAAGACUGACGCUCAGGUGCGAAAGCGUGGGGAGCAAACAGGAUUAGAUACCCCGGUAGUCCCUGUCUCUUAUAA